rnacentral:rRNA from 1 species
GAUGAACGCUGGCGGCGUGCCUAAUACAUGCAAGUCGAACGGGGUUGUUGUAGCAAUACGACAACUUAGUGGCGAACGGGUGAGUAACGCGUUGGUGACCUGCCCCGAAGAGGGGGAUAACAGUUCGAAAGGACUGCUAAUACCCCAUGACCUCUACCCAGUUAGAGAAGGUAGAAAAAGGAGAAAUCCACUUUGGGAGGGGCCUGCGUCCCAUCAGCUAGUUGGUAGGGUAAAAGCCUACCAAGGCGAAGACGGGUAGGGGGCCUGAGAGGGUGACCCCCCACACUGGCACUGAAACACGGGCCAGACACCUACGGGUGGCAG